rnacentral:lncRNA from 10 species
ACUUCUGACCCCGCACACCAACCCGAUGGAAGUAGUGAAGACAGUAGGGACGCACAGCACAGUGACUGAAGCCUGAAACCCUGAGGCUCAGUAAAACUUCAAUUCCUAGAAGCCUAAGGCAAUCGAAUGUUCUCGAAAUAGACCUUCCAGAAUCAAUGCAAUUUUCGGUUCAGCUUUUAGAUGCGUAUAAGAUACUCUUUCUUUGCUGUGGGAUUUUUCUGGUGCUUGAGAUCUUCUUUCCCGAGCGUUCUCCUUGCAGAGAUCUUUUGAUAUGGAGCGGCGUGCACGCAGCCCCUAGGUUGGGCGCUGAGGGGCAUCGCUGAUGCGAUCCACGUGCCUCCCCGUCCUCAGGCCGCUUCCUUUCCUGGUUUCCAGGUCCUCGUUUCUCCCAGCGCUGCCCUCCCCAUCUAAGCCCAAGUCGCCGUGAGCCCGCGCUGCCCCCUUGUGGCCAAAGCCCUCCCCAGCUCAGGAAACGGGAACGCUUGGCGGCCAGGCUGAGAGUCGGUGCGCGUGACCCGGCUUCUGCUCGCAGCAUCCAAGAAGUUGCAAUAACGUGGAAGGAUGGGGAACGGCGCCUCCCUGGCUAGCGUGAAACUCAGCCACAGCACAAAAUUGAGGCUGUUGGCCGUGAGCGGCUCUCAAAGCUGAAUUUGAGCCAUGCUAAAAUACUUACCUUGGACAUAAGCUAAGCUUUAAGUUUGUUGUUUAUAACUUCAAAGAGAGACAAGGGACAGUGACUUAAGAAUAUUCUAAGCUAUAAAUUUACAUGUGGACUUUGCUACACACCUGGGAUGCAGCCAGAUGAGUUUUGUUCCAUUGCAGUACAUCUGAUGACCAGAAUUCUAUCAGAGAAUGUUAAUGAACGAAAAGCCUGAGCUUUAAGACUGAGAUUGGUACCACGGGUAGUCAUGGCCACCUGCUGGCAGCGUAGGGUACUGCAGCCCAGCUAUGGUUCAGACUAAAAGCCGAGAAACGCCUGUGGUCCAGGGAAAGGUAUGAAGAUCAUAUAAACCGGCGGUGGACAGGAAAUGCCACAGUCAAGAAGAUGCCCCUGGGAUGCUGAGCUCUUACAACUCGAAAUCAACAGCUUUUACAAAUAAAACCGCUGCAAAAGCAAUAGCUCUUACAA